rnacentral:misc_RNA from 1 species
GAAAGCAUGUGGCUAUGCACACACAUAAAAGCCUUUUGUUUGUUUACAGACAUCUGAAUAUGACUGCAUCUUUUUGAGAGCAUAUAGACAGGAAAAAAAUGCUUUGAUUCUUCCACUGACACGUAAAGAGUAGAUGCAUCAUGACUUUUUGGGAUGAUAACUUGAAUUCUAAUGAUAGGGCGAUGAGCCUAAGAGCAAAAGCUAGUAGCCUCAAAUUUCUUUAGUGGUAGUUAUGCAAGCAGGAUGUGGAAGCUUUUGUUCAUCGAAUUGUAGUCACCAGCUGAUGAUUUUUGCAUUCAAGAAGUUGACAUUUACUUAGGACAAUCAUUACAUGGUUUCUUGAUGCAAUUAAAUGUCCCUUACUACAGGUAUGAACCUGAUAUG